AGAGUUUUCUAUGCAGAUUUCAAAUAUGGCACUAGUUUUGAUGUAGCUAUUAAAGCUUUUGAGUUACGUGAUGCAUAAUGGCAAAGUCCAAUAAGCUUUGU
rnacentral:lncRNA from 1 species